rnacentral:rRNA from 1 species
AAGAUGACUCUCGGCAACAGAUAUCUCGGCUCAUGCACCGCUGAAGAAUAUAGCGAAAUGCGAUACUUCGUGUGAAUUGCAGAAUCUAGUGAACCAUUGAGUCUUUGAACGCUAGGUUGCGCCCGAAGCCAUUAGGAUAAAGGCACGCCUACUUGGGUGUCACAC